UACGUAGGGUGCGAGCGUUAAUCGGAAUUACUGGGCGUAAAGGGUGCGCAGGCGGUCUUGCAAGUCAGAUGUGAAAGCCCCGGGCUUAACCUGGGAAUUGCGUUUGAAACUACAAGACUAGAGUGCAGCAGAGGGGAGUGGAAUUCCAUGUGUAGCAGUGAAAUGCGUAGAGAUGUGGAAGAACACCGAUGGCGAAGGCAGCUCCCUGGGUUGACACUGACGCUCAUGCACGAAAGCGUGGGGAGCAAACAGGAUUAGAUACCCUGGUAGUCCACGCCCUAAACGAUGUCAACUAGUUGUCGGAUCUAAUUAAGGAUUUGGUAACGUAGCUAACGCGUGAAGUUGACCGCCUGGGGAGUACGGUCGCAAGAUUAAAACUCAAAG
rnacentral:rRNA from 1 species